rnacentral:rRNA from 1 species
UACGUAGGGGGCAAGCGUUGUCCGGAUUUAUUGGGCGUAAAGCGCUCGCAGGUGGUUCGUUGCGUCGUGCGUGAAAGACCCCGGCUCAACUGGGGGAUGUCGUGCGAUACGGGCGGACUGGAGGCCAGUAGGGGGAUGCGGAAUUCCGGGUGUAGCGGUGGAAUGCGUAGAGAUCCGGAAGAACACCGGUGGCGAAGGCGGCCUGCUGGGCAGUGGCUGACGCUGAGGCGCGACAGCGUGGGGGAGCAAACAGG